AAUAAGGUGGGAAUCCUUAUGGCCGAAUAUCCAAGGUUUCCAGAGUAAAGCUGAUCUGCUCUGGGUAAGUCGGGGCCUAAGGCGAGGACGAGAGUCGUAGCCGAUGGACAACAGGUGGAGAUUCCUGUACUGCGGUAUGACAGAACUGUGGGGACACGUAAGGAAAGCGGAAGCCGGGAAUGGAAAGCCCGGUGCAAGCGGGGUACCAGCCACUUUGCCAAAUCCGGGUGGCAAUGGGAAGCCGUGAUGCGGAGCGAAAUAAAGUAGCGAAGUCCGUGAGCCAUGCGUCAAGAAAAGCCGCUAUCGUUUAUACCGUACCCGUACCGUAAACCGACACAGGUGGAUGAGGAGAGAAUCCUAAGGCCGGCGGAAGAAGCAUUGUCAAGGAACUCGGCAAAAUGGCCCCGUAACUUAGGGAUAAGGGGUGCCUGGGAAACCAGGCCGCAGAGAAUAGGCUCAAGCAACUGUUUAGCAAAAACACAGGUCUAUGCGAAACCGAAAGGUGAGGUAUAUGGGCUGACGCCUGCCCGGUGCUGGAAGGUUAAGAGGAGAGGUUAGCGCAAGCGAAGCUUUGAAUUUAAGCCCCAGUAAACGGCGGCCGUAACAAUAACGGUCCUAAGGUAGCGAAAUUCCUUGUCGGGUAAGUUCCGACCCGCACGAAAGGCGUAAUGAUUUGAGCGCUGUCUCGACAAUGCAUCCGGUGAAAUUGAAGUACCAGUGAAGAUGCUGGUUACCUGCGCCAGGACGGAAAGACCCCAUGGAGCUUUACUCCAGUCUGGUACUGGGACUCGGUAUUGCAUGUACAGGAUAGGUGGGAGGCUGAGAAAUGGUAACGCCAGUUGCCAUGGAGCCGCUGUUGGGAUACCACCCUUGCAGUAUUGGGUUUCUAACCAGCCGCCGUGACCCGGCGGUGGGACAAUGCCAGACGGGGAGUUUGACUGGGGCGGUCGCCUCCGAAAGGGUAUCGGAGGCGCCCAAAGGUUCCCUCAGAAUGGACGGAAACCAUUCGAAGAGUGCAAAGGCAGAAGGGAGCUUGACUGCGACACCGACGGGUGGAGCAGGUACGAAAGUAGGGCUUAGUGAUCCGGUGGUAUUAAGUGGGAAUGCCAUCGCUCAACGGAUAAAAGCUACCCUGGGAUAACAGGCUUAUCACUCCCAAGAGUUCACAUCGACGGAGUGGUUUGGCACCUCGAUGUCGGCUCAUCGCAUCCUGGGGCUGUAGUAGGUCCCAAGGGUUGGGCUGUUCGCCCAUUAAAGCGGUACGCGAGCUGGGUUCAGAACGUCGUGAGACAGUUCGGUCCCUAUCCGGCGUGGGCGUAGGAUAUCUGAGAGGAGCUGUCCUUAGUACGAGAGGACCGGGAUGGACGGGCCGCUGGUGCAUCGGUUAGACUGCCAAGUCUACGGCCGAGUAGCCAAGCCCGGAAGGGAUAAACGCUGAAGGCAUCUAAGCGUGAAGCCCCCCUUAAGAUGAGAUGUCCCAUUCGAAAGAAGUAAACCCCCUUGAAGACGACGAGGUAGAUAGGGCAGAGGUGGAAGUGCAGCAAUGCAUGGAGCUGACUGUUACUAAUCGGGUGAGGGCUUGACCA
rnacentral:rRNA from 1 species